rnacentral:snRNA from 1 species
AUCACUUCUCAGCCUUUUGGCUAAGAUCAAGUGUAGUAGUAUAUGUGACUUUGUUAAUAAUAAAAUAUCAGAUAUUUUUAUUUCACAUGGUAUUUAUUGAUAUCACAAACAUUGUGUUCACUAC